rnacentral:lncRNA from 1 species
CAUGUCAAAUAAGAAAACAAAAAAAUCAGCAUAUUAAGCUUCACUGCCGCAAACUCGUCAAAUCGCACCAGAUACCAAAGUCGUUUCACCCAAAAAAUCUCCCUUCCCAACUUAAGGAUAUAAUUUGAUAUUUUAUCACAGAAAUAAUACAAAUAAGUUAGCUUCACAACCGUCCCUAAAAAUAUUUAAAAAAUGUAAAAAAUCGUACAUGUGUAGUGAAAGUAAGAAUAUGUGUAUAUAUCAAUAUACCUUGCAGGAAGGAGCUUUGUAUUGGACAAAUUUAGAAUCUGAGUCAUCGUUCUCGAGUCCGUCGAGCGACUCCUCUCGAUCGAAGAAACAAUAAUCUUCUUCACUCCCACUCAUAUAAUCCUCCAUCAUCAAUUAUUAAUUCUAUCUAUACGUAUAUAUAAUCAAUCAAGGAGUAAAUAAAUUAAUUCUGCUUUUAUUUCGACGACUGUGAUCGGCUUUUUCGUGAUUGUGACGGUGAGAUCGAGGGGGCUAUUCCGGCAAAUUACGCCGUCAAUAGGAGUAGAUAAUAUUGAGAGGGAGGGGGAUCGUACUUGUUAAAGAGAAAAUGGGCUUUUCAUUUCAUAGGCUUUGUGCUUUUGCCCUUGUGGUGCCGAGAGAAGCUUUUCAGUGUGUGAAGGUGGAAAAU